rfam:Naumovozyma dairenensis CBS 421 chromosome 2, complete genome
ACAUCGGUUUUUUUAAAAACUAUACAAUGGCUGAAUUGAUUAAUCU